rnacentral:rRNA from 1 species
UACGAAGGGGGCUAGCGUUGCUCGGAAUCACUGGGCGUAAAGGGUGCGUAGGCGGGUCUUUAAGUCAGGGGUGAAAUCCUGGAGCUCAACUCUGGAACUGCCUUUGAAACUAGAGGACUUGGGUACGGGAGAGGUGAGUGGAAUUCCGAGUGUAGAGGUGAAAUUCGUAGAUAUUCGGAAGAACACCAGUGGCGAAGGCGGCUCACUGGCCCGUUACCGACGCUCAGGCGCGACAGCGUGGGGAUCAAACAGG